UUCCGUCUUUCGAUGGCAAUAUUGCGCAACACACGCCUAUAGAUUUUUCGCCGAGGAAUCUCCUCCAACACCGUGUUCGGAGGAGAGCGGCUUUGGUGGGGGCAAUUGCGCAUUCGAAUUUCCCUUCCCCGCGCUAGCCGCCCGCCCGCCUGCCCCGGCAAAUUGCCGUCAUCGGCGAACAUUUUAUUUCAUCUCUUAAAACGGGCAAGUUCCACCGGUGUUACGUGUUGUGUGUCGUCGGGUGCAACCGAACAUGUAAUGUACAUUGUGCCAACCCUCCGGACGCCGCCCGAACGAAAAAAAAAAAAAAAAAUUAAAUUGACGAACCGAAAAAAUAAAAAACAAAAAAAAAAAAACACGCCAUCCGGUCCAUCUUGCGUCGAUGGUGAAUUGUCGCGGGCAACCGGCAGCCACCCAGCCACCCGUGGUCGCAGGCCGACAAUAAUGCAACGCAGGAACUAUUUUUACGUGCGAGUUCGCCAUGAACUUGACAAGACCAUCGAUUAACUGCAAGAACAAGUCUGUCUUGUAUUUUAAUCAUUGGCUAUGACGGAUGGAGUUAUUAUAGGAAAGAAAACUAAACGAUUUUCGUCGCUCAGCUUCUUGAAGAUGGUUAUUUGAAUGAUUGGUUUAGAGUUCAAAGAGUCUUGGACACAGGAAAUGGGCGACUUUACCUGAGCCUCUCUGGAUGAAAUGAAACAAAAUAUACAUUAUAUGGCCGCUUACGUGUCAUUUGGUGGACCACAGAUGAGACUGCAGGGCGUUGCCAACUAUUUGCAUAGCUUUGAAGUGGAUCAGCACAUGCAUUUGUUCAUGAAGAAAAUAUUGAUGCAACAUCUCAGAAUUUAUUUGUAAUUUUAUAAUAUAACAGUUUAAAUAAAACGUUUAUAUUUUAUAUGA